ensembl:lncRNA MIR100HG mir-100-let-7a-2-mir-125b-1 cluster host gene
AGUAAAGAUUAAAUGUGCUUCUCAAAGGCAGCCACUUCAUGCUGCUAUGUCGAAAGGGCCAUUAUUAUUAUUAUAUUUUAAUGGUAAAAGAGAAAAGGAGAGAGGUUGAGCGAGCGAGAGAGAAGCUAGGUGUGAUGAUGACAGACUAGCUUUUCUGAGAGGAAAAGGAAAAGGGAAGGGAGAGAAAAAGGAGAGCCUCUGAGCUCAACGGAGGAUUGUGCCUGAGAAGAACCCACAGAGAGUGCAGGAAAUUCUACCCCCCAAGUAUGGCACCUUGGCAUGCUGAGUAUUUUAAGCUGAAGGAAACAGAGAAAACCACAGAAGCAGAAAGGUCUUUCUGACCUCUCUUGAAGACCCUCAUGUGACAGGUGUCCUGCCCUACAUCCAGAGAGAAGGAAUGUUCCACAGACAGACUAAGAAGAAUCUGAAGAAUCAGGCCUUACUAAGUGCCCUCCAGUGGAUGCUGUGGGGCACCACCUCCUUGAGGACCAAGGCACUCCAGCUGCCAGGAAUUUGGCUGCUAACCUCACACAGCUGAGCCUUCCAUGAAAAUUGCUCUCUGCCAAAGAGAACUUCCUAGUCCAAGGUCAUGUCUACUCUCCAGAGAUGUGACUGGAGUGAUUUGCACCCGGAUGCCUAGACUCGCCAUCUGCUCAAAGACUGCUCAGAAAGCCCUCCCAUGCAUUCCCCUGCUGCAUACCAGCCCACUCUGCCUGCAGCUGCUGUCUGCAGGACUUCAUAUCUAUGCCACACUGUGUAAAAGCUGUGCUUCAAGAAAUCACAAAAACAUUUUCCUGCACCUACUACACAGCCUGAGUGCGGCAUAAGUUGACCUUGCUUGCUAAGAAAUGGGGCAAGAAAUGCUUUUUUGUGUGUGUCAUGUCUGUUUGUUUUUCAAUUAAGAGAGGAAAGCAUUAGGCAGAUGGAAUGUACAUGUGAGGAUGAGGAGACAGAAAACAAGUAGCCCUUUCCAUCAAGAUAGAGGGUUUUCUGGGGUUGCUGGCUAUUGAAUGUCACUCCUGAUUUCUCUUUCCAAGGCACUGUACCACCAGCCUACUGAGAUUGUGUGGGAGCUUUCAUGGGGGUUGUAUUUCACUGAUGAAAAUAAAUUUUUUGCAUAAUGUGAA